UUCUUUUCUAGUUGAGACCAGUAAGCUGAUUAAACAGUGCUAAAUCUUGUGUUAAAAGGAAGUAAAGGUGUAUUAGAGUGUAGUAUUUCAGUAUAAUGUUUGCUUUACUUGGUCAUGUGACUCAUGUUCCACUCAAGAGAUGCAAAGCUAUUAUUAAUUGUGGCAAAUGAGCACACAAGGGCUUUAAGAGCCAUGCUGCUCUUUCAACAAUCACAAACCUGUAUCUUUGGCAACAGGGAUCGUCUCUUGGAGCACCCUGCUGACCUAGUUCAUUCAGUCAUGAUGUCUUCUCGGAACACCAUCCAGCUUUCUUCAGUGUACAUUUGCUCAUUAGGGAACCAAAUGUGCAUCUGGACAGCUGUUAAGUUAUUGUGCUGCAAUGCCUAUUGAUAAAAGUGCAAAAAAAGGUAUUGAACUGAUUUUAAAGAAUUGAUAAAUGAUAUUUCAGUUGCUGUUGUUAUUGAAGCUAUUAUGUGUUUGUGCUGUUUUUUCUAUUUCCCCCCAACCCCUUGUGUUGGCUCUGUCUUUUGCUCUUUACUAUAUAUAGGAGGAGUCACCUGUUAAUUGUAGUGGAGGCCUGGGGGGGAAAAAAGGAGCAGUGAAGAGUGAGAGCCUGACCAGAGGAGGCAGAGCCUACAGUUCAAAAGCAGCCACCCGAAGCCCUGCAGGGAGUUUGCCCUGUUUGCUAGUUGCCCUGUUUGCCAGUUGCUCAGUUACCUCACCUGGUUUAAGAACAAGCUUAUCCAUAGGGCCUAACGAGGAUUACCUGAGGAGGACACAUACAGAAACCUGACUGCUGCUUGUUCCUGCACCUGCUGUGGUUACUUAAACCAGAAAAGACAUUUAUUAAAUAAAGGAGGAACACAGGUGACUAAUACACUACUCUAACCCACAAUAAAGAAUGACAUUCAGGGUAAAUCUAAUAUAUUUAUUCUAACAUAUUAAGAUUGGUCAAUUAUUUCAUUGUAGUUUUGAUCACAGACAUAUGCAUAUCAAGAAAAGUAUUAAAGUCAAGUUUAUUUCUAUAGUGCUUUUCCCGAAAGACAUUUUCUUAAUGCAGCUUUAAAGAAAUUAACAGUUAAGGUGAACAACGUGUAUUUAUCCCUGAUGAGCAGCCAUGGGACUGUGGCAAGGAAAAACUCCCUUAGAUGUUAUG